CGCCGCGUGAGUGAUGAAGGCUUUCGGGUCGUAAAACUCUGUUGUUAGGGAAGAACAAGUACAAGAGUAACUGCUUGUACCUUGACGGUACCUAACCAGAAAGCCACGGCUAACUACGUGCCAGCAGCCGCGGUAAUACGUAGGUGGCAAGCGUUAUCCGGAAUUAUUGGGCGUAAAGCGCGCGCAGGCGGUUUCUUAAGUCUGAUGUGAAAGCCCACGGCUCAACCGUGGAGGGUCAUUGGAAACUGGGGAACUUGAGUGCAGAAGAGAAAAGCGGAAUUCCACGUGUAGCGGUGAAAUGCGUAGAGAUGUGGAGGAACACCAGUGGCGAAGGCGGCUUUUUGGUCUGUAACUGACGCUGAGGCGCGAAAGCGUGGGGAGCAAACAGGAUUAGAUACCCUGGUAGUCCACGCCGUAAACGAUGAGUGCUAAGUGUUAGAGGGUUUCCGCCCUUUAGUGCUGCAGCUAACGCAUUAAGCACUCCGCCUGGGGAGUACGGUCGCAAGACUGAAACUCACGG
rnacentral:rRNA from 1 species